GCUGGGCGUGGUGGCUCACGCCUGUAAUCCCAGCACCUUGGGAGGCCGAGGUGGGUGGAUCACCUGAGGUCAGGAGUUUGAGACCAGCCUGACCAACCUGGUGAAACCCCGUCUCUA
rnacentral:SRP_RNA from 2 species